GCAACAGUAGCGAACCCGGGUGCAGAAGCAUAUUUGGAACGAAAUCCAAAAAUAGCAAAGAAUAGCAGUAGCUUCCUAAAUGAUGCUUCUUUAUCGACAUUUGGAAUCCAGAACUCUUUUUGGCUUUGUUUUAUGGGAAAUCUCUGUGUGGGUGACGUGAAAAGAACGAAAAAAAGAGGGUGAUUCAUCUGAUGUUUUGAGAAGAAAAGGAUGUUGCGCUAAUUUUGCUCUCUCUUACGCCGCUGCUGCAUUACUUUUAGCGGAGAGGGUGUAAUCGUUUAGAAGAUGAAGGAGCUAAG
rnacentral:lncRNA from 1 species